rnacentral:rRNA from 1 species
AGCAGCCGCGGUAAUUCCAGCUCCAAUAGCGUAUAUUAAAGUUGUUGCAGUUAAAAAGCUCGUAGUUGAAUUUUGGGUUUGGCCGAUUGGUCCGUUCUUGUAACGAGUACUGGUCGGUUGGGCCUCACCGCUUGGGGAGGUAAUGCCCUUUAUUGGGUGUUGCUCGGAGCCAAGACCUUUACCUUGAAAAAAUUAGAGUGUUUAAAGCAGGCAUAUGCCAGAAUACAUUAGCAUGGAAUAAUAGAAUAGGACAACGAUUCUAUUUUGUUGGUUUCUAGGACCGUUGUAAUGAUUAAUAGGGAUAGUUGGGGGCAUUAGUAUUCAAUUGUCAGAGGUGAAAUUCUUGGAUUUAUUGAAGACUAACUACUGCGAAAAGC